GCUGGAAUCGCUAGUAAUCGCGAAUCAGAAUGUCGCGGUGAAUACGUUCCCGGGUCUUGUACACACCGCCCGUCACACCAUGGGAGUCGGAAAUGCCCGAAGUCAGUGACCCAACCGUAAGGAGGGAGCUGCCGAAGGUGGAGCCGGUAACUGGGGUGAAGUCGUAACAAGGUAAC
rnacentral:rRNA from 1 species